UGUAGAAGGGUCCAAGCCAUGGGUGGAGGCUGGAAAUUGAUGUCAGGUUUUGAAUCUACUAAAGGUUUAUGUUGUGGCUUUUGGGAGAUGUCCCCACUUCCUGUGAUAAGAGGAGUAUUAACCUAAUGAAGCAAGCACACCUUUCCACUACUAGAGACCCCACUAUGGGGACUCUGCCUUGUGCUGUUCCUGCAGCCACGGGGAGCAACCUGGGCCCCACAGACCUCAGCGGUUUACUUCCAAGACUUAGUUAACAUAAAUUACAGUCCCUUUAUCAAGAGUAGUUUAGGAAGGUGAUGUGUAAUCCCUGAGCCUUCCAGCUAGACUAAACGUGCCAUAACUUGUUUUUCAUUUCCCUUGUUUGGAGUUUAUGGUUUUCUUUGCAUGGAAGGUGUACAGUGAUGUGUGCAAUGAAGACAAGCGGAAGUGGAGGAAUGCUAGGCUGCUGCCGUUACUCUUCUAUUUAGGAUAAUGAAGAAAGGACAUCAAAAGCACAGCUUGAAUCAGUGACUGGAGAAGGUCGAAAAGGAAAUCCUGUGUGUAUCUGGACAACAGUUUAAGAAUUCCAGCACUCAGGAGGCAUGAGCAGGCAGGCCUCUGUGAGAUUGAGGCCACCCUGGUCUACAGAGCAUGUUCAAUCAGAAAUCCAGAAAAAUAAUUCAUUUAAACAAAACCUUAGAUGGUGAUAAAGACUUGAAUAGUCCCAUAGAAUUAACAGCAUAAACAGAAAAGGAAUUGACAAUUGCUGAGGAGAAAUUACAGGAGGCACAUGUGGAUAGCGUGAAUCCAAAUCUUAAUUGUAUUCUAGUCAUAUUGCCUUCUGGAAUUUCCCCUACAGAAAUUUUAAUGCAGAGGGAUGAUAUCAUCUUAGAAUGGAUCUUUUUACCACAUAAACCAAGUAAAAAAUUAAAAAUUUAUGUAGAAAAAGUCUUUGAAUUAAUUAUAAAAGGUAAAGUGAGACUUAGCAGGUAUAGACCAGCAAUAGCACAGUGCCUUUCACUCUGAUGAACUAAAAAGGUUAUGGAAGACAAUGAAUCGUGGCAAAGAGCUUGUGCUAAUUUUUGGGAGAAAUUAAUAGCAAUUAUCCCAAAAGCGAUAGACUUAACCUUAUAAAGAGAACUUCUUUGAUUCUUCCCUGAAUUGUACAUGAUGCUCCAAUAACUAGAGCCCACACCUUUUAUACUGAUACCAACAAAUCAGAGAAGGCAGGAUACAAAUCAGAAGAAUUAAGUAAGGUGGAACAAAGCCCUUAUACUUCUGUCCAGAAGGCAGAAUUAUAUGCUAUUCUCGUGGUGCUAAGGGACUUUAAAGAACCUCUUAAUAUAGUUACUGAUCCACAAUAUGCAGAAAGAGUUUUCUUACAUAUUGAAACCACUGAAUUUAUACCAUAUGAUACAGAAUUGACUUCAUUAUUUAUCCAGGUGCAAGACAUAAUCAGGACUAGGCUUUGUCCUGUAUACUUAACAUGCAUCCAAUCCCAUACAGGUCUGCUAGUGUAGGAGGGUCUUCUGUUUCUGUGUUGUAUUCAUUGGUUGAAUAAAGAGAGUGCCUUGGCCUUUUGAGAGGACAGCCCUUAGGUGGGCAGAGUAGACAGAACAGAAUGCUGGGAAGAAGGCAAUGUGGCAGACGACAUGCUUCUCCUGCCCAAGAUGGAUGCUGGUUAGGCUCAUGCUGGUAAGUCACAGUCAAGUAGCGAUACACAUUAAUGGAGAUGGGUUAAAUUAGCCAAUAAGGGGUUGGAGAUAAUGGGCCAGACAGUGUUUUGAUCAAUACAAUUUCCAUGUGGUUAUUUUGGGGCUAAGCUAGCCGGGCGGGACGGAUGCAUUCCCCCUUCUACAACAGUCUGCCAGGUUCUCUAGCACAACGUAAUGCAGAAAUUGAUCAAUUAUUGAUUGGAAGCAUGUUGCAGGCCUCUGAAUUUCUUUAAAAAUAUCAUGUCAAUAGCAAAGGUUUAAGGAAAGAGUUUUUUUUUUUCAUGGCAACAAGGAUAUUAUAAAGAGAUGCCCUACUUGCUCUUUCUAUAACCAAACACUACUACUUGCAGGGACUUAGCCAAAGGGCACUCAAAGGAAUGAAAUCUGGCAGGUGAAUGUGUUCCACUUUGCAAAAUUUGGAAAAUUAAAAUAUGUACACCACACCAUUGACAUUCAGGUUCUUGUUGGGCAACUGCUUUAAGCUCAGAAAAGGCUAAUUCAGUGAUCAUGCAUUUAUUAGAAGUUGUGGCCAUCAUGGGUAUACCUCCACAAAAGAAGACAGAUAAUGGUCCAGCAUAUGUCUCUAGGAAUAUGAAACAGUUUCUUGCUUAUUAUAAUAUUAAGCAUGUUACAGGUAUACCACACAAUCCUACAGGUCAGGCAGUUAUAGAAAGAUCAAAUCAAACAAUAAAGGAUAUGUUAAAUAAAUAAAAAGGGGUAAAAAUGCUCCCAGAAAUAGAUUAUAUUAUGCUUUAUUAACCUUGAAUUUUCUUAACGCUAAUGAGAAAGGGUCAACAUCAGCAGAAAGACAUUGGAUAAUAGAAAAGUCUUCUGAAUUAAAUCAACCAUUUUUAUUUCAAGGAUGUCUUGACCUCACAAUGGAAGCCAGAAGAUGUGUUAUGUUGGGAAAGGGGUUUUUCCACAGGAGAAGAAAAACUAUGGAUACCAUCAAAAUUAAUAAAGAUACAGUUUGUAAGGGAGAAACCUCUUGAGAAAGAGAAUUGACAGCUCAUCCACAAUGGUGACAACCAUACAGAGGGUAAGGAAACUUCAUAAGGGUUGGGGCAGGGUUCUGUUCUUAUCUUUGCAGGAAAAUACUCAUCUUCAAAAAAAUUCAAGAGACCCUGGAUGUUUGGGUGCCAACAGAAGGAAAAUUAACUAUCCACUAAGGAUCAUCAAGAAAAAGGAAUCUGAUUUAUGAGAUCAGUGAGACACGAUUGGUCCUGGCAGCACCCGAUCUAUUCUUGAGAGAAUGUUGAGCACCGAAGAUACUCCACUUAGAGCUUGUUUUCUUCUUGGAAAAACUGGCCUUUGGAAAAAGAAAUGCCCAUGCAUCAACCACUGACAAGAUACAUGAUGUCCAGAAAUGGAUAAGCAGGACUGUCAAAUCUUGCCAUUACAGGUUGCUGGAUUCAGUUUCUGUUGUUCAUUAAAGCAGAAGAUUCUGAUUUGUGAGUUUACACCUAAAUAAAUAACCAUUUAUUUCUC